GAGGAAGUUGCAAGAACUUUGAAGAGAGAGUUCAAGAGUACGUGAAACUGCUCUGAGGAAAAACGGGGGGGUCUUCAAGAUCUUAAUGGCGGGGGAGUUCAUUCGAAAAUCCGAUGGAGCGAUCGUUGUGACCGAACCCUACAAAAGGCCGUGUUCUUACACGCCUUUUCGCGGGUGUUAGACACUUUUCUUCCCGCUCUCGAGACCCCACACCAUAUCGGGUAACAGCGAGAGUCCAUUAUGGGGCGGCACGGUGCGUGAGAUCGGUAUUCAGAUCUUGAGCUCGAUUCCUGGUUUUUACCGGGACCGUUCGUGGUGCAACACCCAAUCAAGGUCAAAGUUCCUCUUGCUGGGAACUGACCGUCUCUUUCCCUCGUGGGCGUGGAGCUCGGGUCAACAUGCACCGACGAAACGAAUCCGUUCCAAGAAACGGAUCGUCUGUCGGAGAGCCAGUGCUCGAUUCGAAGCGACCGCAGGGGGAUGAAUCUUACCGUUUGCGGCGAAAAAGUCGGUCACCCACCCCAACCCUCUUGAAACACGGACCAAGGAAUCUAACAUGUGCGCCAAUCCCAAGGUCUUGAACAGGGCCUAAGGCGCAAUGAAAGUGAAAGGUCUCUUGCAGGACCGAGUUGGGACUCUCGUUUCCUCUCGGAGGCGGGAAGCACCAACGACCCGUUCCGAUCGACUCGUCGGUGGGACGGAGUAAGAGCGUACACGUUGGGACCCGAAAGAUGGUGAACUAUGCCUGGGCAAAACGAACCAAAGGAACUCUGGUGGAGGUUCGCAGCGGUUCUGACUGCAAUCGAUCGUCAACCUGGAGGGGGAAAAAAAAAAAAAUAAAAAAAAGGUGCGUCCG
rnacentral:rRNA from 1 species